GAUACCCUAUUAUUUUAAAUGUAAUUUUGUUAACUAAAAUUAUUAUUAGUUAAGUUCUUUAAAAUUAAAAAUUUUGGCGGUAUUUUAGUCUUUUCAGAGGAACCUGUUUAUUAAUUGAUAUUCCACGAUAAAUUUUACUUAAACUUUAAAUUUAUAUAUCGUCGUUUAUAAAGAUUUUAUUAGAAUUUGAAUUUUUAAUAUUUUAAAUUAAAUAUUAAUUCAGAUCAAGGUGUAGUUUAUGUUUAAGUAUAAAUGGGUUACAUUAAAUUAAUUUUUAGUUUUAAAAUUGAAAAUUUUGAAUAAAUUGGAUUUGAAAGUAAUUUUUAGAUUUUUGUAUAAUGAUUUAGCUCUAAAAUAUGCACACAUCGCC
rnacentral:rRNA from 1 species